GCGCCCGUAGCUCAGUUGGAUAGAGUACCUGGCUACGAACCAGGUGGUCGGAGGUUCGAAUCCUUCCGGGCGCG
rfam:Candidatus Muproteobacteria bacterium RBG_16_64_11 RBG_16_scaffold_46781, whole genome shotgun sequence.